CUCACCACCUCAGGCCCUCGCAAAGCCACGGCUGAGCGCGGGCUGAACAUAUCUGGCAGAAGUCAAAAGCAGCGACGUGAAAAUGCGUUUUCCUUGCUGAAUAAAAGUGUGUUUCUGUCUGUCCCCGUUGCAGAAAGCUGCCCCAAAAUGUGAUGUGAGUGCUUCCAGAGUGCCUGGGGGCAAACAGAGAUUUUUUUCAUAUAUAUUCACAUAACUUAAACACUCAUAUCAUAGUCUCAGCAGUAACUUAAAACACUCAGUUCCCCAGGAAAAGCACGGCCUGGCCUCAGGGUCUGCCUUAGCGCAGGCCAGGCCAGGCUGUGGUACCAGUGCCAUGCCCAACAGGCCUCCUGGGCACAGGGAAAACAAGUUUUUGUACCUGUAACCAAGUAAAAAUGCACUUUUUUACUUGUUUUUGCCUCCCUCGUUGCUGUACAUGUCAAUCUCAUUGCUUUUCUGGGCAAAACCUGUGAUCUGUCUACGUGUGGGUGGAUGAUGGGAAGUGGUGGGAGAACUGAGGAAGUGUUUCCAUGUGUAAAACAAGACAGCCUACUGCAGGCAGCCUCCUCAAGUUUCUUACUGAAACAAAACAUGAAAUAAUCUUAAUCCUCCUUCUCAGUUAUGUGUAUGUACUGAAAAACUAAAGAAAUGCUUUUUUGUUGUUGAUGAUUGGUAUUUUAAAGAAACAAGAUUUGAACUAAAACCAAGAUGUCCUUAAAAUACGCAUUUUUAGGUGCAACUCGCAGGCAGCCUUUCACAGCAGCCGAAGGAAGGCAUGUGUUCUUCGUUAACUGAACCGAAAUCACAAGUGGAUCUGCCGUGGCCUGUCACCCAGGCACUUUGUGCAAACAACUGUUUUGGAAGACACAGACACUGUCAUUGUCUGGGUGCUGUGCUGGAAAGAGAGCUUGGUAUGUAUUGGUCUCAUUCCCCGGAGCAGCUCGGUGUCAGCAGGGAGACGUCUGUCUUUCCACAGAGCUCAUUCUUCCCUGCCCGGCUGCCUGCACAUUAAUAACAAGGAAAAGAAUCCGGUGAUUCAGUGAUUGAUACCAGCUUAUGCUAAACAAUGUCCCCUCCUGUUUCCAAUAAACAUGGCUGUUCAAAUAGAUUAUAGUGUCUC
rnacentral:lncRNA from 1 species